GGGGCCAGCGGGGAGAAAAGGAGACCACGGGGCGCGGGGCAGCGUGGGACCACCAGGAGAGAUGGGUCUGCGGGGGUUACCUGGCGUGCCCCUCUUUAAGCCCUGUGAACUCAUUGCUUCUUUCCGAGCCAGCUGCGACCGCGACGCCCAGGCCUGCCCGCUCUU